rnacentral:rRNA from 3 species
GGGUUGUGAGGUUAAGCGACUAAGCGUACACGGUGGAUGCCCUGGCAGUCAGAGGCGAUGAAGGGCGUGCUAAUCUGCGAUAAGCGCCGGUAAGGUGAUAUGAACCGUUAUAACCGGCGAUACCCGAAUGGGGA